AAAGAAAAGAAGCAAAAACAGUUUACUGGGAGGUUUGCCUAGAAUGUAUUACAUUAAUAAUUAUAAAACAUUGUUUCAUAAUUGCUAAUCUCUGCUUUUGGCUACAAACUGACAAGUGGGGAGAUGGGCUGUAAGUACUGACAUUAGUAUGCUUGCCAUGACCCAACUUAAUUAAUUCUACCAAUCAAAGCAGUUUAUCAACAUCAUUUCUAUGAAAUCAAGAAUUUAAAUAUAACUUUGGCAAGGUCUACUACAAAUUUUAAAUUGAUGCCCACCCCAGAGCUACAACAAGGCUAAAUUAUCUGGAAUCCAAAAUGUAUAAUCAAUUUGUUCUGUUCAUUUCAUGGCUUUAUCUUUCUUCUUAUUAUAUAGAUUUUACAAUAGGAUAAUUAUUUGGGAAGUUUUUUUUUUAAGGAUUUAUAUGUUAUCCACAAAAUGAUGACACAAAUCAUAAGCAAUACAAAAUGGAAUAUUUAAGGAUAAAAACAAUUAAAAGGGGGAUGUAAAAGAAACAGGAAAUAGAGCCUAACUAGUUUUCAGGUAAGCUAAUUACAUACAACUGAAUUGCAAAUUUGAUUCUAAAUCACCUGGUAAUCUAAGGCCAAAGGGGAAAUAUACAACAUAGCUUUUCUGUUCAUAAAGAAGCAUAAGAAAUUCAUCUUGUUGAGAAAUUUAUCUGUAACUAAACACAAGCAGGUUUUACCCAAAUUAGAAGGGCACCUCUUGCAAUAACAAAGUCCCAACCUCAUACUAAGACAGGGUCUAAAACAGAGCUAGUCCAACUCCUCAAUAUUUUACAACAUCAACUAUCUUGACUCAUUCUCUCCUAUUACAUUUUCAUAUAUCACUAUUCUUAUUUUCUUCCCUUAAAUCUCCAAAUACUCCCUGGCCUUCAUUCCAUUCACAGAAGAUGGGACACAAGGUAGAUUGCUCAAUGUCUGUUUGCCAACACCCUCAGAAUUCGUCACUUUCUUUACUCUUCUUUGCUCAUCUCCUUUUCAGGAGAAGAGACUGUCCUGACUCUGCCGAAGCUAAUUUUCCUGUGUCAUCCAAAAAACUGAUCCAAUCAUUUUGGAUUAUAUUCCUUUAAUCUCUCCGUUUACACUGCCUUAUUAACAGUCAGGCCUAAACUACUCCAGGAAGCCUAAAAUCAAUGCCCUACUUCCUCAACACCUACUUAUGCCUUCACAAUCUGGCUUGUCACCCCCACCAUUCAAGUGAAAUAGCUAAAAACAAUGAUCUUUUCAUAUAAAGAUCAUCUUUCCUCAUUUCUCCUUCCUUUGAAUCUAGUUUUAUGCCUCUAUUCCCAUAACUUGCCUUCCUGGUUCUUCUUUCCAACAUCUUGUUACGUGAGCCCAGCAUGGCUAAGAGCAGGAUAGAAGUGCCCAAGGCCCCUAUGUUAUCAUCAUACACUAGAUGAUCACGCCAUUCACCAAUCUCUCAGUCUAUUAACCAGUGAAUAUAGUUCAAACUGCGGAGGCAGUCAUGGAUAAAGAGCUGCGCCUGAAGUCAGGAUGAGCUAGAAUUUCAAAUCUAUUUCUCUGAUACCAACUGUAGGAUCCUGGGCAAAUAAUUUCAGUUUUUGUCCCUUUGCUAACUCCCUGGAAACCUACUAAAUCACAGGCCAGCUGUGGACCUGUGUUGGCAGGAGGAGUUCCUGUCCCACAAACUCCUUACAGACAGAUUCACCACAGAUCUUUCUUGUCUAGCACUUGGUAUCCUUUGUAGAAGUCUUGUGUUUUCUUCCCCAGGUUUAUGCUAUUACUUAGUGUAUCACAAAUCUCUACCUGAUGAAAUCCCACAGAAUCCUUCAAGUUCAAAUGCCACGUCCUUCACCGAGCCUUUCCUGAAAUAACUCUUUCUUCUUAAACAGCACUUGGUCACCUUCCUGUGUAAGUCUGUGGGCAAUGCUCUGUUAGUACAGCUUGCUCCAUGAUAAGAGGGCUUGGAUCUCCAAUAAUUUCUGUGUCUCCCCAGAGCUUCAGACACACUCAGUAUAAAACACCUUAAAGUUCAUAACUGAUCCAGGCCCUCUCCUAUACUGCUAUAACUAGUCUGAGACAAAGAGAAUAUUUGGUCACAUGAUCCAAUCAACUACCCUCUGCUGAAAUAAGUGGGGUAUGUAAGUAGUGAAACUGCAUUAUCACUGAAUUUAUGCUUUGAAAGUGUGUAUUAGCUGAAAAAUAUCAGUAAGGUUUCCCUAUGCCAGCCUACGUGCUGCCAUUAACUUUCUGCCAACGGCACAUCCUGAUGUCGUUUUACACCUCAAUUUAGCACCAGUCCAGGACAUAAACUUGUAACAUCUUUUGGCUCAUCUCCUGAAAAUCUCUCAGACACAGGGCAAGCCUUUCUUGGAAGCCAUUACUUUGGUGCUUUAUUUCUAAGCCGAAAUACUGCACAGAACUGCAUUUGAGACGGUUAUUUCACUGUGUGACAAAAUGACCAAAACAUCUCCUACACACUCUGGAUGUUCGAUCAAAACCACUUACACGGAACUGACAAGACUAAAAUCUGUAAGCAAGAGGAGCUGAGCCCAUUUUUGGAACUGUGAAUCAACAUAUUUAGUUAUAAGAGGUGACUUAGGAAGCAACUUAACUUCAGUUAGAAGCAGUCCAGUAGAUCCUGUCACUAUUAAAGGAUCAAAUCAAUAAGGUCAAUAAUUAGUGGCUGGAAAGGAAAAUGACUCUCAUACAAUGAGACCCAGGCAUAGAUAUUUUUCUUUCACCCUCCCCUACCCUUCUUCACUUGGACCACACAGAUCCUAACUCUUCCAUCAUGUCAGGAUACAACAUUUUAGAUAUCUCCAUUAUCUGGGGGAAAAAAAAGGAUAGCAAGGACAAUUGGUGAGUAGAUUUUUUUUUGGGGGGGGGCAUAGUAUUAGAAAGAUGACUGCAGGAGUUUCAUGACGGCUGUGGCAAUCAAGGAUUCAGCACGCUGAGCUCAUUUAUUCAGAACGCUAAUUCUCUAUGCAGGUUAAAGGCCCAGAGAGAACACAAACAGAUUACCUCAAUCUCACUGGAAAGCCUUGAAUGAUUUUUACAAAUGUAGUUUCUAAUUCUCCUUCAAACUAAAAAAAAUGACCUCUUCUUCAUCCCAUCAUUCAUACAACUUAAUUCACCUGCAGUAGAAGGUUACUCUAUCAAGAGGGUUCUUUCAAAGUCUGACCAAUGGUCAGCCUGCUCUUCAGAACUAAGGCACAAGGUCCUUAUUAGUUAUGACUCUGAAUCUACUAGUGUCCUAUUAUGUAAGCAUGGGAGAUGUGUAUAGCUAUUUUUAUCCUGGAUAAAUAAAACCCUUAUCUCUAAAUCUAAUUGCAGCCUACAAUUUUAAAAUUCUUCCCCAAACAUUUUUUUAAUACAAAAAUUGAAAGUAGUUGUCUCAUUUUACUUCCCUUCCCAUUCAUUAAUUGGUGGACAGCUAACAACCAGAUCAACAUCAAGUGGAAAAAACAAGUUAAAGGCAAAGCUGAGCCACUAAAGAUCAACCUAGUUGUCUUUAGACAAUUAUUAAAGUAGCCUUCUUCAUGAACUAAGAGUCGAGGCAUUUAUUGUAAGCAACAAUAACAGCAACAAAAAGACAUUCUCUUUCACAUAUCAUUUUCCCCCAAACAUGCCCAUGUCCAGAGAUGGUAAAAGGGGCAAGAAGAAAGUUUUCCUUCAAAAAUCCCAGAGUUCUGCCUGAUUUUUAACAUUUGCCAAGAAUAUGUGAUCUUAGAAAACAAAGAUACAGAAAGAAGUCCGAGCUUUGUAUAUAAAAAAGCUGGGGAAAAAAUGUAAAACUGUACAUAAUUUAGAAGUUUUACAAUAACACGAGCAUUGAUGCAUUUGCUUAAAAGCUUGAUUCCUUUAAAUAGAAAAUUUCUCUAAGCACAUUCAAAAUAAUUUGAUAUUAAAAAUUUAUGUGACUCUUCUGCAACUCUAUCAAUUCAAAUGCAUAUCUACAUGUCGAACUAAAACUAAGAUAUGUUAUCCAAGCCCAUUUAGGUAAUGUGACAGCUGACCUGGGUUCUAGGCAGGCUUUCUCAUCAACUAGCUAUGUUACCCUAAAGCAAGUCACUUCACCAUUCUGUGUUUGUUUCCUUAAAUGUGAAAUGAAGAAGGCUGAAUUAGAUACUUUCAAAUCUCUGAACACUUAUUCAAAUCCUAAUAUAGGUGGUCCACAGUCAAUAUAUUCCUUGAAUGAAUAUCCUAUUUUCUAUGAGGAUAGAGGAAGAAUUUUAAUGGAUGACUAAGGCAGCUACUUGGUAAGCAAGAUAUUUCAAGUUUUUGUGACUGGUAACAAAGUUAAUGUUUUCUAGAACAAGAACUGAAUGCUACCCAUCCCAUUUGAGUAUAUGUAGUCUUUCAGAUUCUGGAAGGACUAAUGCUACUGCAAUGUACCUCUAGCCUUAGAAGAAAUGUAAGCAAAGACAAGGGUUAGUGCAGAAUACUUGUGGCAGUGUACAAGAUGGAACUGAUCCCCAUAAGGCCUGCAGAAGACGUUUUUCAUGAGGGGCAUGAGAAGGACCAACUUCUUCUAGGAGGCAACUUGGCAAACCAGAAAAGAUUACAUGCUGGAUUUGGAACUGUAAGACCCAUGUUCACAUCUUGAUGCUGCUACUUCCUCCUUCUAAGGGAAAGCUGUAUCAUCUUCUGACAUUCAGAAACAAAAAAAAAAUGCACUGAAAUUUUGAGCGCUGGUACCGAUGUUGGACCGACUUCUUAUGAUAACAAAUAAUAUAUCUGAGGGCAACAGCAAAAAAAAAAAGCCCCCAAAACAAAACAAACUGAAUAAAAGGUAUCUGGAAAAAUCAA